GCCUUAUAAGCUAACCGGAAAGCUACUAACCUUGUAAGUUGGGGGGAGGAGGUUCAAGUCCUCCAUAAGGC
rnacentral:tRNA from 16 species